rnacentral:rRNA from 1 species
GACGAACGCUGGCGGCGUGCCUAAUACAUGCAAGUCGAGCGGAUUAAUGGGAGCUUGCUCCCGUUAAUUAGCGGCGGACGGGUGAGUAACACGUGGGCAACCUACCUGUAAGACUGGGAUAACUUCGGGAAACCGGAGCUAAUACCGGAUGACACUGAGGAACUCCUGUUCCUUAGUUGAAAGAUGGCUUCGGCUAUCACUUACAGAUGGGCCCGCGGCGCAUUAGCUAGUUGGUGAGGUAACGGCUCACCAAGGCGACGAUGCGUAGCCGACCUGAGAGGGUGAUCGGCCACACUGGGACUGAGACACGGCCCAGACUCCUACGGGAGGCAGCAGUAGGGAAUCUUCCGCAAUGGACGAAAGUCUGACGGAGCAACGCCGCGUGAACGAUGAAGGCCUUCGGGUCGUAAAGUUCUGUUGUUAGGGAAGAACAAGUGCUAGUUAAAUAAGCUGGCACCUUGACGGUACCUAACCAGAAAGCCACGGCUAACUACGUGCCAGCAGCCGCCGUAAAAC